UACUGCCCUGCAAAGAGUCGCCGACUGUGGCGGCCUGUUCAGAACGAACUAGCAGGGUAGUUUUCA
rnacentral:ncRNA from 1 species